rnacentral:rRNA from 1 species
GACGAACGCUGGCGGCGUGCUUAACACAUGCAAGUCGAACGCUGAAGCUUGGUGCUUGCACUGGGUGGAUGAGUGGCGAACGGGUGAGUAAUACGUGAGUAACCUGCCCUUGACUCUGGGAUAAGCCUGGGAAACUGGGUCCAAUACUGGAUACGACAUGUCACCGCAUGGUGGUGUGUGGAAAGGGUUUUACUGGUUUUGGAUGGGCUCACGGCCUAUCAGCUUGUUGGUGGGGUAAUGGCUCACCAAGGCGACGACGGGUAGCCGGCCUGAGAGGGUGACCGGCCACACUGGGACUGGGACACGGCCCAGACUCCUACGGGAGGCAGCAGUGGGGAAUAUUGCACAAUGGGCGGAAGCCUGAUGCAGCGACGCCGCGUGAGGGAUGACGGCCUUCGGGUUGUAAACCUCUUUCAGCACGGAAGAAGCGAAAGUGACGGUACGUGCAGAAGAAGCGCCGGCUAACUACGUG